UCGAUUCCCCGUGUCGGAG
rnacentral:snRNA from 1 species